AUAUUGCGCAAUGGACGAAAGUCUGACGCAGCGACGCCGCGUGUGGGAUGAAGCCUUUCGGGGUGUAAACCACUGUUGCCCGGGACGAAACUCCUCUUUCGAGAGGACUGACGGUACCGGGUGAGGAAGCACCGGCUAACUUCGUGCCAGCAGCCGCGGUAAUACGAAGGGUGCAAGCGUUACUCGGAAUUACUGGGCGUAAAGCGUGCGUAGGUGGUUUGUUAAGUCUGAUGUGAAAGCCCUGGGCUCAACCUGGGAAUGGCAUUGGAUACUGGCAGGCUAGAGUGCGGUAGAGGGUAGUGGAAUUCCCGGUGUAGCAGUGAAAUGCGUAGAGAUCGGGAGGAACAUCUGUGGCGAAGGCGACUACCUGGACCAGCACUGACACUGAGGCACGAAAGCGUGGGGAGCAA
rnacentral:rRNA from 1 species